UGGGGAAUCUUGCGCAAUGGACGAAAGUCUGACGCAGCGACGCCGCGUGGGUGAUGAAGGCCUUCGGGUUGUAAAGCCCUGUGGGGAGAGACGAAUAAGUCGGAGCUAAUAUCUCCGGCGAUGACGGUACCUCCUUAGCAAGCACCGGCUAACUCUGUGCCAGCAGCCGCGGUAAGACAGAGGGUGCAAACGUUGUUCGGAAUUACUGGGCGUAAAGCGUGUGUAGGCUGCCGUGCAAGUCGGAUGUGAAAGCCCCGGGCUCAACCCGGGAAGUGCACCCGAUACUGCAUGGCUUGAGUACCGGAGAGGUUGGUGGAAUUCUCGGUGUAGAGGUGAAAUUCGUAGAUAUCGAGAGGAACACCGGUGGCGAAGGCGGCCAACUGGACGAGUACUGACGCUGAGACACGAAAGCGUGGGGAGCAAACAGG
rnacentral:rRNA from 1 species